UUUAUGGAGAGUUUGAUCCUGGCUCAGGAUGAACGCUGGCGGCGUGCCUAAUACAUGCAAGUCGAGCGAACGGACGAGAAGCUUGCUUCUCUGAUGUUAGCGGCGGACGGGUGAGUAACACGUGGAUAACCUACCUAUAAGACUGGGAUAACUUCGGGAAACCGGAGCUAAUACCGGAUAAUAUUUUGAACCGCAUGGUUCAAAAGUGAAAGACGGUCUUGCUGUCACUUAUAGAUGGAUCCGCGCUGCAUUAGCUAGUUGGUAAGGUAACGGCUUACCAAGGCAACGAUGCAUAGCCGACCUGAGAGGGUGAUCGGCCACACUGGAACUGAGACACGGUCCAGACUCCUACGGGAGGCAGCAGUAGGGAAUCUUCCGCAAUGGGCGAAAGCCUGACGGAGCAACGCCGCGUGAGUGAUGAAGGUCUUCGGAUCGUAAAACUCUGUUAUUAGGGAAGAACAUAUGUGUAAGUAACUGUGCACAUCUUGACGGUACCUAAUCAGAAAGCCACGGCUAACUACGUGCCAGCAGCCGCGGUAAUACGUAGGUGGCAAGCGUUAUCCGGAAUUAUUGGGCGUAAAGCGCGCGUAGGCGGUUUUUUAAGUCUGAUGUGAAAGCCCACGGCUCAACCGUGGAGGGUCAUUGGAAACUGGAAAACUUGAGUGCAGAAGAGGAAAGUGGAAUUCCAUGUGUAGCGGUGAAAUGCGCAGAGAUAUGGAGGAACACCAGUGGCGAAGGCGACUUUCUGGUCUGUAACUGACGCUGAUGUGCGAAAGCGUGGGGAUCAAACAGGAUUAGAUACCCUGGUAGUCCACGCCGUAAACGAUGAGUGCUAAGUGUUAGGGGGUUUCCGCCCCUUAGUGCUGCAGCUAACGCAUUAAGCACUCCGCCUGGGGAGUACGACCGCAAGGUUGAAACUCAAAGGAAUUGACGGGGACCCGCACAAGCGGUGGAGCAUGUGGUUUAAUUCGAAGCAACGCGAAGAACCUUACCAAAUCUUGACAUCCUUUGACAACUCUAGAGAUAGAGCCUUCCCCUUCGGGGGACAAAGUGACAGGUGGUGCAUGGUUGUCGUCAGCUCGUGUCGUGAGAUGUUGGGUUAAGUCCCGCAACGAGCGCAACCCUUAAGCU
rnacentral:rRNA from 1 species